AAAGUGAUGACGUAUUUUUCUAGUUAAAUAUAUGAAGUGAUUUGCAGAAAUAUAAAUGCAAUAAACUAAAUUGCAUAAUGAUAUAUCAUGGUUUUUUUUUUCAAACAAGAGUACUUUAAUCUCCUCACACCCCCGUCAGAGAUUUUAAUUAUUGUCAUAUAUUUGUACAAUCCUACCACAAAGAAUUCUUUAACAAGAACAAAGAAGCAUACCACUUUCUUGAUUUCUAAACACAAACAACUAUGGUGGAUUUAGAAUCACCACGAUUUAAAGGAUCUUUUCUAACAAAUAGAAAAAUAUUAUUUUCUAUUUGUAAUAAUAUGUAAUAAGUACAACACUUUCUUACAUAUAAA
rnacentral:lncRNA from 1 species